CUUUGUGACCUUAAUCUUAUCAGCUUCGACUAGGCAUGAAGUGUACCUCCUGGACUUCUAAAUAAACUUUUGUGAAGUCCAUGUGCGAGUAAAUUGACAUUGCAAUUGCUAGUUGUUACAACCUACUAUGAAUCAGUAGAGUAGGCAGUGGAGCUGCAGCGAUCGCUUUGACUUGCGGAAUGCUCUCAUCAGGUAGUAAUAACAUGAGGGGUUACGAUACGUAGUUGCCCAAAAUUCUUGCAUUCAGAGAGACUUUUAUUAACUCUUUCUUUUGUACUAUUUUUUAAACUGAUUUUGGAGUUCAAGGUAAGUAAAACUUCAUUUGUCAGCUAAAGAUUGAUUUACGACAGGCUAUCUUGCUGCAACUGUUGCGUGGUUGGCAGACAGUGAUUGAAGAAGCUUCAUACCGGUGAAGUUGGAUUGUGAAGUCUUCAUUCCUCAUUUUAGGCGACUCACUGAUGAUUCUUCUAAAGAUUAAAUGAAAGCUUCUUUCCCUACAAGGGUCGUCGGGUCGCCUGUUGAUCUCAUCAUCAUGUGCCUUCUUCAGAGAGUCCAACUGCCCACAUGAUAUUCUGCGAGUUAGGUGAUUUCUAACUUGCAAAUCCGAGCCAUUUUUAUAUGAAGAGCGAAAGGGAAAGAGAUGAAGUAAUAAUUGCAGACCUUACCAAUCGCCGACUGAUACUGUUGUUCUUUAUAGCUUCACCAUGACUUGUUGAAAAUCAAUUCAUUUAAGCAAUGCAUCAAAAACUGUUGAUCAAGCUUUGUUCAUUUUGUUAGCUGCCUCACUCAUCACACUCAAAGGAGGGCCAUCU
rnacentral:lncRNA from 1 species